rnacentral:rRNA from 1 species
GUCUAUGGCCAUCUCACCCUGAAUGUGCCUGAUCUUGUCUGAUCUGGGAAGCUAAGCAAAGGUUGGGUCUGUUUAGUAUUUGGAUAGGAGAAGAUCCAAAGAAAGACUCCAAGAAUU